UACGGGGGGGGCAAGCGUUGUUCGGAAUUACUGGGCGUAAAGGGCGCGUAGGCGGCCUUCUAAGUCGGACGUGAAAUCCCUCGGCUUAACCGAGGAACUGCGUCCGAUACUGAAAGGCUUGAAUCCGGGAGAGGGAUGUGGAAUUCCAGGUGUAGCGGUGAAAUGCGUAGAUAUCUGGAGGAACACCGGUGGCGAAGGCGGCAUCCUGGACCGGCAUUGACGCUGAGGCGCGAAAGCUAGGGGAGCAAGCGGG
rnacentral:rRNA from 1 species